rnacentral:tRNA from 1 species
GCCAGUUUGGCUCAGUAGUUAGAGUGUUGGCCUGUGGACCAAAGGGUCAUGGGUUCCAUUCCCAGUCAAGGGCA